rnacentral:rRNA from 1 species
UACGAAGGGGGCAAGCGUUGUUCGGAAUUACUGGGCGUAAAGGGCGCGUAGGCGGCCGAUCAAGUCAGGCGUGAAAUUCCCGGGCUCAACCUGGGGGCUGCGCUUGAUACUGAUUGGCUUGAAUGCGGGAGAGGAUAGUGGAAUUCCCAGUGUAGAGGUGAAAUUCGUAGAUAUUCGGAGGAAUACCAGUGGCGUAAGCGACUAACUGGACGGGCAUUGACACUCAGAUACGAAAGCGUGGGUAGCAAACAGG